AAGGACAAAUAAACAAAACAAAAACGUAAUCUGUAAUCACAUAAUACAACUUCCAUUUUUAACAUAAUACAAGUUCAAAAAUACUGAUUUCUAAGGAUAAACCGGAUAGCAUUCUUACAAAUACAAUAUUAGCACAUUGAUUAUCAUAUAGAAUAUGAUCAUAAUCAAGCAGGAAAGCAAGGGUAACUCGAUUGUUUCAAUUGUUUUCCAGCAAACUUAAAAUGAAGUUUAUCUUUUUUCAGCAAUAUUUAUAUUUUGUAGUUAUUUUGGAAUUUUAAGAAGUUGCAAAAUGUUUCAACAAUAAAUAUAUAUACAUUAGUUAUGUUCCAGACCAUAUGAGUAUUUGGACCGUACGCGUACGGUCCGGACCGUAUACGUAUACUCGUACGGUCCGACCAUACACGUACGGUCAGACCAUAUGAGUAUACACGUACGGUCCAGCUGAUGUUUUGGGAUCAUAUGGGUUAAAUUUAAACAAACAUUUAACAAAAUCUUUUUUUUAGUUAUACGAUUUUUUUAGUUAUACAAAUUGUUAUUAUUACAUGUAUAUGGAUAAAAUGAUUAAGCAAACAAUUGAAAUUAAAUAUGUAUUUAUCUGUAUAUCCGUGAAUCCUAUUUUGGUACUCAAGGUGACACUGACUUCCACAAAGAACGUCAUAUUUUUUUUUAUAGUAACAUAAUUUGUUCAUGCACGUUCCUUUGCAUUUUUUUUGUAAAGUUCCUAAAUAUUCUAAAACGAUUGUCCUCCCACUCUAAGUUUACUUCCGAUAACUUCAAUUUCAAUGAGCAUACUUGGCUUCAAUUAAUGAAUUACUGACAUGCUAAAUACAGGAGAUUAACAGAUUAAAUAAACGUGAUUUUUUUAAAUAGUUAUAAUAUUAUUUUUUUUAUUUCAAUUACUAUUGAACUUUUUACAUUAAUUUGAGAUAUAAGUGAUGUUGAUCUGUUAUAUACAUUUGUAUCUGAUAAACGUGACCCACUUCUUAAUAUUAGUCAGACAGUACACGUACGGUCCGACCGUAUGCGUAUUUUGAAAAUGUACGCAUACGGUCCAGACCGUACGCGUACGGUCCAAAUACUCAUACUCAUACGGUCUGGAACAGUUAUAUUGCAAUUUAAAGUGGAUGCAAAAUUUUUCUUUCUUCCACUUCACUGUUUUUGUUUCCAAAAGAAAAUGCAAAUAAAUUGAUGCAAACUGCAGACUGUAAAGUUGACAAAAUAUAAUAUGAGGUUAAUACUAUUUUAACCCUAAUUUUGGCUAAUGGAAACAGGGAUCACUGAGAUGAUAAUGGCAAAGUUAACAAACUGAAAGUGUACUGUCAAUUCAGAAAUUGUUUUCUGCAUUUAUUAUUUAUAAUUGUAUAAAAAUUUGCAAAAAUAUGUGAUAAAUUAUUUAUUUUUGAUAUUGUUGGAAUAUAAAUAUUGCUAUCAAAAUUAAAAUGUGAGUUUAUCUAUUUGUG
rnacentral:lncRNA from 1 species